CUACGGGUCGCAGCAGUGGGGAAUAUUGCACAAUGGGCGCAAGCCUGAUGCAGCCAUGCCGCGUGUAUGAAGAAGGCCUUCGGGUUGUAAAGUACUUUCAGCGGGGAGGAAGGGAGUAAAGUUAAUACCUUUGCUCAUUGACGUUACCCGCAGAAGAAGCACCGGCUAACUCCGUGCCAGCAGCCGCGGUAAUACGGAGGGUGCAAGCGUUAAUCGGAAUUACUGGGCGUAAAGCGCACGCAGGCGGUUUGUUAAGUCAGAUGUGAAAUCCCCGGGCUCAACCUGGGAACUGCAUCUGAUAUUGGCAAGCUUGAGUCUCGUAGAGGGGGGUAGCAUUCCAGGUGUAGCGGUGAAAUGCGUAGAGAUCUGGAGGAAUACCGGUGGCGAAGGCGGCCCCCUGGACGAAGACUGACGCUCAGGUGCGAAAGCGUGGGGAGCAAACAGGAUUAGAUACCCGGGUAGUC
rnacentral:rRNA from 1 species